rnacentral:rRNA from 1 species
UGUUUAUCAAAAACAUGUCCUAUAGAUUAUUAAUUUUAGGUCUAACCUGCUCAAUGAGUAAUUAAAUAGCUGCAGUAUAUUAACUGUACAAAGGUAGCAUAAUCACUUGUCUUUUAAUUUGAGGCUUGAAUGAAUGGUUGGAUGAAAUAUAAACUUUCUUUAUUUAAAUUUGAUGAAUUUAAUCUUUAAGUUAAAAAGCUUAAAURUUUUUGUGGGACGAGAAGACCCUAUAGAAUUUUAUAUUUAUUUUUAUAUUAGUAUUUAUUUAAUUAUUAAUAUAUUAUUGAAUAUUUGAUUGGGGUGAUUAUAAAAUUUUAUUAACUUUUAUUAUUAAUUUCUCAUUAAUUAAUGUUUUUUUGAUCCUUUAUUAUGGAUUAUAAGAUUAAAUUACCUUAGGGAUAACAGCGUAAUUCUUUUGGAGAGUUCUAAUCGAUAAAAUGAGUUUGCGACCUCGAUGUUGGAUUA